CACGCGGCUGCCGCUUAGCAGCCCUUUUUGAGUUCCGUCGUGAGAUCGGAUUUGCAGAACCCUACAAUGAACAAAAAAUUGGGAUGCUAAGAGGGUAAAAGAAAGGGGCAUAAUAAAAUGGCCAGAGGAUAAAACCCAAAAAAUUAAAGUGCUAAUAGGGUAAAAAGAAAAGAAAAAUGGGAACUUAGGUUUCAUUGUCAGGCAUAUCUCCUUCUCCAACCAUUUUGGAUUCUUAUCUGAUGAUAACCUGAUCUCAAAUCAAGUUUGAGGAUUCAACUCUUAUCUGAUGAUAACCUGAUCUCAAAUCAAGUUUGAGGAUUCAAUCCAGCCACACGUUCCCCUACGGCUACCCUAUCCGAACCAUGGGAAAGAAAGUUUGUCAGAAAUUACUUGUACUUG
rnacentral:lncRNA from 1 species